AAUCACAAGGACUAAAUGGUCUGAUUGGUGGCGGAUUAUGGGAUAAGAUAGCGAAGCGGACCCUGAAGAAUAGUUUAUUUAAAAUUUUCCGUGUUAUUCAACAAAAAUAAAAGAAUCCUGAGCAGCCGUCCAUACACCAUAGACACACCCAAACCAUACGAGUCCUAAGCGUCGACGAAGAGACCCUAACCCUAAUAUGCUCUGAUUGGAUGAUGGGAAGCCAAGGCAAUAUCAGAAAGGAAGACGUUGUUCAAAAGCUCAAGGACGAUGGCGACUUUGAUAGACUCCGUCUCAUGAUCAUUCGCAAGCUCAAGGACAAACAGGAAGAGUUGCGUAACAGCAUUAUUUCAAUGGUGAAGCAGUCAGAAGCACUUAAUCAUGCAGGCAAUGAAAAUCUGAAACCCAGGCAAUUUUGUGAUGCCAUUUACAAAGAGAUCCAAACAGAGGCAAUGAACCACAUAUCUGAUAGACUGUGGGAAAUAAUCAGAUCAGAUGAUGGAAAAAGUGAAAUUACCAAAACAGUACAAUCUGUCUACAAUAAAUUAGUGAAUCCGAAAGGGAAUGAAGAGGGCAAUUCUUCGUCUCCCAAUAUCUUAGCACAAUUUCAAAAUGGAACUGGCAAUAACAGUUUCCAGAAAGCCCCAGCCAGUGAAAUCAAUGAUCCAAUGUCUGAUAAUGAGCUGAAUGAACCACCAGGUUUCUCUAUGAGUAACACUCAUCAGAGCAACAGCCAUGGGGAGCAAAAAGGGGAGCAGCAGCAGCCUAUGCCUUCUGAAAGGGGACCCACUGAAGAACACAAGGAAGGGUCCAACCACCCACUGGAAGUGUUGGAGCCACAUGAUGUUGAUCAUGGUGUGCCACCUGGAUUUUCUGCAGCCAUGGAGAACAGUCAGCCAUGUGAUGGUAGCGAUGAGGACCCUGAUGUGCCUCCAGGAUUUGGUUGAGUUGUCUUGCAGUUUGUUUUGUCACUGCUAUCAUGCACCGGUGCAUUUGUUAAAGGCUCUAGAAUGAAGGAUUCAUCCAUAUAAUUACUGCCACCACAUUUCCUUGUUCAUCCUAGAAGUUCAUACUGAAUCUUUGCAACUAGCAAGGGUCUCUAUAUACCCCAUCAUUGAAGGUUCAGACAAUUCGGUCUGUAAAUGAAGAUAAUGAGAUAAAGGAGGCAUCGCAGAUUAACUGAUCAUGUAAGCAAGGAUUUCUGCUCGUCUUCUGCAUUCUCAUUAAUCCACUCCUCACUUGAACAUAAUGGAGAUUGGACUCCCAACAGAGUGUUUUCCAGAAACCCAUUUGAGAUAUCCUUGAGCAAAUUUGCUGCUUUUCCCGCUGGAGCUAUUGUGGCUGAAUGUCACUGAAUACGUCAGCUUCUGGUUCACCUUUGAGAAGUAAAGCUUAUCAGGAUUGACACUCACAUCAACUCCUUGUGGUACAAUCGCCGUUACGGUGUAAGAUGAAUAGGCCUCACCAACAUUUGUCACAGUCCGCGUGAAAGUCUGAGGUGGUCCCAGUGCAACAGAAAAUGAAGGGUAGUUUAGCUCUCCUUCAGGAAUGCUGGAUUCUUCUGAGCAUUUGAUGGAUCGAUGUGCAAGGAUCCCAACUUCAGUAUCUGUGUAGCCCAGGCCACAUAAAUAAGGUAUAUAGUCAUCAGGUUCGAUAUCAUAAACCAAGCCUGGAUCAUUGGCUCUUGAUGGGUUAACAUGACCUGCGCCAGUAGCAAAUAUGUCUGCAGGAAGAAGUCUUUCAUCGACAAUGGGUUUUCCCCCAACGUUUAGUAGAUCAGCGGUAGUCAUUAUGGCAGAUUUAAUGGCAGCUGGUGACCAAUCCGGAUGAGAGCUCUUGAGCAAAGCUGCAAUGCCACUAAGAUGAGGGCAGGACAUUGAUGUGCCAGAGAUUAUGUUGAAUGUGGAUUUUGAAUUUAUGUUAUUGUCAAGAGGGAAGGGCCAUGCAGCUAGGAUGCUCACCCCAGGCCCAAUAAUAUCCGGUUUCAGAAUUCCUGGACUUGCAAAGCUGGGGCCUCUGGAAGAGAAGGAAGUAAUAGCGGGAGACAAUGGGUUGCCAAUUACGGUUCCUUUAAACAAGAUUGCUGCUGUUGGUGUUGCGGUUGAGUUUAUAUAGGCUUUAAUCUUCAGUCCUGCAGCAUAGCUCACAUGUGUUGCAGGAAGUACAUGGGCAUCAGCUAAGGUGCUGAAGCCAUCACUUUCUUGGUUCACGAGAAUCAUGGCAGCACCACCAGCAUUUUUCACUUCCGUCCCUUUGUCAAUUCUGGCUAUUCCCCCACCUCUGUCACACAACACUACCUUCCCCUUGACAUCAAUAUUUUUCAAGGAUCCCUCUCCACAUACUGCAGACUCUGGUUUACCAUUCAUUCCAGCAUAAACGAGAGGCAAUUGUGUGGCUGGGAAGUCACUGGGCUGGAAAAGGGUUUCACCAUCAAAUUGUUCCCCAUUUCCAAGUUUUGCAGCAGCUUUGAUGGUUCUAUCAAUGGAACUGGCUCCAACAGUGAGAAUCCAUGGGGCUUCGUUAGAUAGAGUGGUGUUGAAAGGGCCAGAAUUCCCAGCUGAACAGCUCACAAAAAUUCCCUUUUGCAUUGCUGCAAAUGAGCCCACCGCUAUAUUGUCCUGGAAAAAUGGAACUGCAGGAUCACCUAAAGAGAUUGAGAUCACGUCAACACCAUCUUCAACAGCAGCAUCAAGUCCAGCUAUUACAUCACUUUCUGGGCAAUCUGGUCCAAAGCACACCUUGUAUAUUGCCAAGUGAGCGUAAGGUGCCAUCCCAACUGCCGUGCCCUUGGCAUUUCCAAGCACAUCAGCAUUCUUCACAAAUGCGCCAGCAGCUGUGCUUGCCGUAUGGGUACCAUGCCCAUCAUCAUCAAGUGGUGGCUCAGCUGUCACUCCCUUUGUGGCCUUGGCCCCGACAUUGAAAGACCUUGCACCAAUUAGUUUGUUGUUACAUUCUGAUGCCAUGAACUCACAGCUUCCUUUCCAUUUAGCUGGUGGAGGUGGAAUUCCUUCACCGCUAAAUGAAGGAUGGCUAGGCAACACUCCAGAGUCCAAUACUCCAAUGAUCACCCCCUUUCCGAAAUUUGAUUCUUUCCAGAAUCCCAUUUCCUGGUGCAACCCUAGGAAAUCGGGUGAAUGCGUUGUUAGUAGAGGCAACAUCUUUUCUGGACUUGCUGAGAUGAACCCGUCCAUAUUUUCCAUAGCUCUCACUUCUUCCUCCGUCAGUCUGGCUGCAAAACCACUGAUCACAUUUUUGUAUGAAUAAACCAGGCGUUCCUGGUUGUCUGAAGUGGCAGUGGCCACUGGCAAAAAUGACCGAUGCCAACUCUCUAGAUUCUCUUGUUGGGCAGUGGUGCUCCUUUCCAGCUGCUUAACGUGGACAAUGGAAGGAAUAUAUUGACUUCCGCCGCCAUUUAGCAGCAUGCAUGAGAAAACUAUGGCCUCCCCCUACCCUCUCAAAUGAUUCAUUGAUCUUGGAGGGAUUCAAAUGGAGCCGAGCUUCAGUUUGCAAUGGGAACCAAAUCCAGCUCACUGAUUUAUCGGACAUGGUAGACGAAUUCGUGAAUUAUGAGGUGAUAAAUGAAUUCCAAUCUGGACAAGGUAAAAUAAUUUUGCUUCUCACUUAAUUGUUCGAAAUCUAGAAUGUGAGUAUUUGUUGGAUGCAAGAAUUCAAUUCUCACAUCCUCGGUUGUUGCAUCCUUCAUCACCCGCUCCUCAUUCAAACAUAACAGAUAUUGGGCUUCGGACAGAAUGACUAUCAGACACCCAUUUCAGAAAUCCUUGCGCAAAUGGCUUGCCACCCUCACCCCCCGCGCUUGUCCUGCUAAAGCUCACCAUAUAUGUUAUCUUCUGGUUCACCUCCGUGAACUCGAGUUUAUCAGGGUUCACACUCACUUCAACUCCAGAUGGUGCCAAAAUCUGAACACUGUAAGAUGAAUUGGCCGCACCCACGUUUGUGACCGUCCUUGAGUACGUCCCAGAACUAGGCCCCAAUGCAAUGGAAAAUGAAGGAUAAUUUAAUUGUGCCUCAGGUAUGGAUGAUUCUUCAGAGCACUUCAGCGUUCGGUUCACAAUCAACCCUACCUCCUCAUCAGUGUAGCCCAAACCACACAAGUAGGGUAUGUAAUCAUCUGGUUCCAGGUCGUAAAUGAGGCCUGGAUCAUUUGCUGCUGAUGGGUUCACAUGGCCGGCACCGGUGGCGAACAAGUCAGCGGGUUGAAAUGUUUCGUCAAUGAUGGGCUUAUUUUCAAGGUUGUGAAGAUCGGCAGUAGUGAUGAUUGCAGACUUAAUGGCAGCAGGAGACCAGUCAGGAUGGGCACUUUUGAUCAAAGCCGCAAUGCCGCUGAGAUGGGGGCACGACAUUGAUGUGCCUGAGAUCACGUUAAAUGUCGGUUUAGAGGUUGUAUCGUUCUCCAGCGGGAAGGGCCAUGCUGCUAGAAUGCUCACACCAGGGCCUAUAAUGUCUGGUUUCAAGAUACCAGGGCUUUCCAAGCUUGGUCCUCUCGAAGAAAAUGAAGUAACUUCGGGAGCCGUAGGGACUCCGAUGAUGGUUCCUUUGAAAACGAUUGUAGCGGUAGGUGCCGAAUCUGAUUUUAUGUAAGAUUUAAUCUUCAAACCCGCUGCAUAACUCACAUGUGUUGCAGGAAGAACAUGAGCGUCGACUAAGGUGCUGAAUCCAUUGAGUUCGUCAUUGGUAAGAAUCAUGGCAGCACCACCAGCAUCCUUCACUUCUUGCCCUUUGGCAAUUCGUCCUAUGCCCCCACCUCUAUCACACACCACUACCUUUCCUGCCACAUCUACAUCUUUCAAUGAUUCUGGAGCGCAUAAGGCGGACGAGGCAUUACCAUUUGCGCCCGCGUACACGAGAGGUAGUAAUGUUGAAGGGAAAUCACUUGGCUGGAAAAGCGAUUCGCCAUCAAAUUCUUCCCCAUUUCCAAGCGUCGCUGUAGCCAUUAUCUUUCUGUCUAUGGUGCUUGCACCCACGGUAAGUAUCCAGGGUGCCUCGUUUGAUAAAGAUCCAUUGAGUGGGCCUGAAUUACCAGCGGAACAGCUUACAAAUAUCCCUUUUUGAAUAGCAGAAAAAGCACCUAGUGCAAUUGAAUCUGCGAAAAAGGGAGCAGAGCCUCCACCCAGGGAGAGGGAAAGUACAUCAACACCAUCCUCUAUGGCAGUGUCAAGUGCUGCUAAUAUGUCAGUGUCCGCGCAACCAAAUUCGGAACAUACUUUAUAAAUUGCCAAGUGAGCAAACGGUGCCAUGCCAACAGCCGUGCCAUUGGCAUUCCCGAGCGCAUCCGCGUUUGGCACAAAAUUCCCUGCAGCUGUGCUUGCGGUGUGGGUGCCGUGGCCUUCUUCAUCAAUGGGUGGAACAGCCUCUGCUCCGCUAUCAAAAUUUCUUGCUCCGAUGAUUUUGUUAUUGCAGGACGUCCAAUUGAAGUCACACUUUCCUUUCCAUUUAGCUGGUGGAGGUGGUAGUCCUUCAUCGCUAAAUGAAGGAUGGUCAGGGAAUAGUCCUGUGUCCAGAACUCCAAUAAUAACCCCCUUGCCGUAGUUUGAUCCUUUCCAGAAACCUAACUCUUGGUGCAACCCCAAGAAACUAGGGCUAUGAGUUGUAUGCAAGGGCAAUAUUCUUUGCGGUCGAGCUGAAACAAACCCAUCCUUCUCUUCCAUGGCUUUAACUUCUUGAGCUGUUAAUUUCGCUGCAAAGCCAUUAAGCACAUUUCUAUAGGAAUAAACUAUGCGUUGCUUCCUGUUCGAGCUUGCAGUGGCAACUGGCAAAAAUGACUCAUACCAGCUCUCCAGACCAUCUGAUUUAGUGAAGACUCUGCGGUGUGUCCUCUUAACAUGGACAAUGUAGGUUUGCAAGUGAUCACUUUCCUCAAUAGCAACAUCUUCCUCCAGUAUUGCUUCACUUAGCUCAUUCAUCAAUUCUGUUUCCUGAUCAGCAACUGCAGAAGAGAAACCACACAUGAAACUAAGACUGAGAAGGAAGACAGCCACCAUGAUUGGGAGCAGUUGACACCCCUUGUUCCCCAUAAUGGUAGAAGAAGUCGAGAACCCUCUUUCUUUGUGUUAAUAAUCCGACCUGAUCAAUACAUAUAUAGCACACAUGCAUAGAGAGAGAGAGAGAGAGAGAGUUUGUGUGCGUUGGUGUAAUCGACCAGGCUAAUUGUCAUGUCUUAAUGCGUUUAGCUGGAUGGCAUGCA